GUGCACAGCCAUAUAUACGUAUGCACACUCGAUGGAAACAGUUAUAUCUCGCGUGUAACAAACGCAGAGAAAUUCGAAGGUACAUCAUGUGCCAUGCGUGUAUAUAUGAAGAAAAUAUACGUUUAAAUAAGUGGGUAAAACGCAUUGUACGAAUACGUUGCACAUGCCGUACGCAGAAGAAUAAACGAGAGGUCAACGGCGUAACGACGCCACCCGCCAUUUUAAGGACGAACCUUUAAGGCCUAUAACGCAUGGUAGAUGACUGUAAGAAUGAAGCCAGUGUAUAAAUGAAGUAUCGCCAGCUGGCACGUAAAAUGUAGCGCCACGAGCAAUGCGAAUAUUCAGUAACGUGUACGUUUAUAGAAGAAAAAUUAAUGACACAAUAAAAAUUAGAAUCCAUAUUGAAAACAUCGAAAAUCCAUUUCGAUGUUUGAAAAGAUU